rnacentral:rRNA from 1 species
GUCUAUGGCCAUGCUACCCUGAACAAGCCCUAUCUUGUCUGAUUUCAGAAGUUAAGCAGAGUUAGGUCUGAUUAGUUCUUGGAUGCGAGACCACCUAGGAAGACCAGGUGCUGUAGGCA